GCUGGCCCUACCUAAACCCUAAACUCUUUCAUCUUCUCUGCCCCAAUUCAAUUCCUGCUUUUCAACUUUGCAACUUUAAACCCCAGAAGCAAGAAGGAAAAAGCUGUGAGGAACGGCAUGGCUUACGGCGGUGCAUCCACGGCAAUGACCGCCGUAACGGCAACGCCGACGAUUAAGCAAGUUAAAUUGGAAAGAGAAAGCGAGCUUAGAAUCGAAGUGGCGAACGACAUGCCGCUGCGCCUGAGGUUACUAAACGGCACUGCUGAGAUCUUUGGCACCGAGUUGCCUCCUGAAAUGUGGCUCACCUUCCCUCCUCGCUUAAAAUUUGCUGUAAAUCUCAAUUUCUAAUUGCUCCUUUGAAGAUCAUGUUUAGAUUAUUUGUUCUUUUGAAUCUUGGGAGCUGGGAGUUAGUAAUUUUUUUUGUGAAGUUGUUUCUGGGUUUUGUUAAAUUUUGGAUGGCAGGUGUUUACUUGGUAUGGGGCCACAAUAGAGAUGGAAGGUACCACUGAAACCGAUUAUACUGCAGAUGAGACUCCCAUGGUUAGUUAUGUAAAUGUCCAUGCUGUACUGGAAGGACGUAGAAAUCGCGCCAAAGCCUCAUCCUCUAGUGGUUCUGAGACUUCUCAGGGUCCUAGGGUGAUUGUUGUUGGACCUACAGAUUCUGGAAAGAGCACCUUGUCAAGGAUGCUUCUCAGUUGGGCAGCCAAACAAGGUUGGAAACCUACCUAUGUGGACUUGGAUAUUGGCCAAGGGUCUAUAACAAUUCCUGGAUGCAUUGCUGCCACCCCUAUUGAGUUGCCCAUUGAUCCAGUGGAAGGGAUUUCUCUUGAAAUGCCUCUUGUAUACUUCUAUGGGCACACAACUCCUAGUCAAAAUGUAGAUUUGUACAAAGCACUUGUAAAGGAGCUUGCUCAAAUACUAGAGAGACAGUUUACUGGAAAUGCUGAAUCACGUGCUGCAGGCAUGGUGAUCAACACUAUGGGAUGGAUAGAAGGUGUGGGCUAUGAGCUGAUUCUUCAUGCAAUUGAUACAUUUAAUGCCAAUGUUGUCUUGGUUUUGGGUCAGGAAAAGCUUUUUAGCAUGCUUAGGGAUGUAUUAAGGAACAAACCCAAUGUGGAUGUUGUGAAACUUCAAAAGUCAGGUGGUGUGGUAUCCAGGACUUCAAAAGUCCGCCAGAAGGCCAGGAGUUACAGGAUUAGGGAAUACUUUUAUGGCAUUGCUAAUGACCUCUCUCCACAUUCAAAUAUCGCGAACUUUAGUGACUUGUUUGUAUACCGAAUUGGUGGUGGGCCACAAGCCCCAAGAUCAGCUCUACCAAUUGGUGCAGACCCUGUGGCCAAUCCUCUUAGAGUUACAGCUGUGAAUAUUGAUCGAGAUUUACUCCAUGUUGUUCUUGCUGUUUCAUAUGCUCAAGAACCUGAUCAAAUUGUUUCAAGUAAUAUUGCUGGGUUGAUCUAUGUCACAGACAUCGACCUUCAGAGGAGAAAAAUCACUUACCUUACACCAACAGCUGGGGAUCUUCCGAGCAAGUAUUUGAUCAUGGGAACCUUGACAUGGCUGGAAACAUGAAGCACAUCCAGGAACAAGUUUUUAAGUUCUAGACCGUUGAUGAUCUUCUUGGAACUGUAUUUUACUUUUACUAUCUAGUUUACGGGUGGUAGUUUUACUGAUUGAUUCACCUUCCAUAAAUUAUGUGUCAUGUAUGGUAACUCUUGUCAUUGUUGAAGCCAAACGCAAAUUGCGAAGUUACCCACAGCGGUGGAGCAGAAAUCGGUUAUAACCAAAAUAUCUAAUCAAGCUGUUGUUUUUCAGUUCAAACAGUUCAGUUAGCAUUUUUUAGAUAGUUCAGUUCAAUUAUUUUUUACUGAAAAUAAGAAAAACCGAU
rnacentral:misc_RNA from 1 species